GGUUGCGCGAGCCGUUGUGGCGUGUUUGUCUAAUCGUGUGGUUUUGUGUUUGGUGUAACGAAAUGUGACUUGGUUCGCGAACACAGAAGUGCCAGAAGAUAGCUUGUGUCUCUCUGAAACUCGCCAUAUCCGUGGCGUGCCAGGCAAAUGGGGACCAACGAUUUCCAUGCCCUGGAGUGCGUUCUCUUUUGUGUCUGGUUGCGGGAAGUUCGCUGGACGUCGCAAAGAAAUAAUGUGUAUUAUUAGCGUGCCUCAGCUCGUCCACUACGUAACGGCGUGUAGACUGGGAGUCGACGCAGCACCGGUAACUUGGAGAGCGCUUUUCGACCGCGUCGUACCAUUAAAAAGUGGCGAGGCCGUAACCCACACCAGUGUCCACAUAAUGGAGGAGCCAGCAGAAAUGCAGGGAAACCUUGAAUGACUGCCAUAGCGCAGUGUGUAAUCUGAUUGCUUGGUUCAGUGAUAUCAUGCACAGGAACAUCAGCUUGGACCCCAAAUUUGGAUCCUUUCUGCAGAUGUUGCAUAAUCUUCUCUGGUAUAUGGAUGUCCCCCAUGACGCUGACAUUGCUUCCAUCUUGCGUCAUUUUCUUGUCUCCUGUACAACAGAGCAACAUAUUCAAGAUGCACCUCCACCUGCACUCCAUGAGCUGUGCCACUAGGCGCUUCAAAGACGCGAGCUUCUUAAUCACAAGCCAGUCAGGAUGGUCCUUAAAUCACAGAAGGUGCAACCUGUCCUGAGCGACUUAUUCUGCAAAGUCUUUUCACGUGCCCCCACGCUGGUUUCACAGGGCCGAAGAGGGCACUUACUUCGUUAUGGACGAGUCAUUUCCGGAUGGAAAAGGCGAACUGUCUUGACUAGCAUGUUGCAUGGGCGAUGUGACUGAGUAGAAGGUUGAUGGUGGAAAAGGUGCCUUACAACCUUACAAGAGGAAGGAAAGACACUUCACCUUUUGCAUCCGGAAAGGACUCGUCCCUAAUGAAGUAAGUACCCUCUUCAGCCUUGUGAAACCAGUGUGGGGGCAUGUGAAAAGAUUUUGCAGAAUAAGUCACUCAGAACUGUGACAACAAGUCCAACUUUUUCAGGACUGGUUCCAUCUUCUGUGUUUUAAGGACCAUCCUGAUUGGCUUGCGAUUAAGAUGCUUGCAUCUUGAAUGAGUUGCUCCGGUGUUCAGGAGGAAAAUGACGCAAGAUGGAAGCAAUGUCGUCAUGGGGGACGUCCACAUACCAGGGAAGAUUAUGCAUCAUCUUCAGAAAGGAUCCAAAUUUGGGGUCCAAGCUGAUGUUCCUGCACAUGAUCUCACUGCAUUAAAUUGGAAAGUGGCCACUCAGGAAAAGAUGAUAAUCGGGACCACCGCCUUCUCAAAGGUGUUGACUGCCUGCUAAAGCUUGCUCCAAAAACCCCGGACUCGCACCAUAGUAGAUUGUUGAAUGACAUAUCUUUUUUUAAGAGCAACAACCUGAUGCUUACGCAAGCUGACAAAGAGAGUGGGCUCAUCGUAUUACCCAAGUUAGAGAAAUUUAUUUACAGAAAGGCAGAGAGGUCGGCCUGAGCUAUAACUUGCUCUGGCCUGCUACUCUACACUGGGGAAGAGGGACGGGGAGGGAAAGGGCUGAUGAAUGAUGAUGGUAUAAGGAAGAGAUGCGUAUAUACAAAUUCAGAGUUGUGGCCUCUCUAAAGCCGUGCG